rnacentral:rRNA from 1 species
CCUACGGGUGGCAGCAGUAGGGAAUCUUCCACAAUGGGCGAAAGCCUGAUGGAGCAACGCCGCGUGGGUGAAGAAGGUCUUCGGAUCGUAAAACCCUGUUGUUAGAGAAGAAAGUGCGUGAGAGUAACUGUUCACGUUUCGACGGUAUCUAACCAGAACGCCACGGCUAACUACGGGCCAGCAGCCGCGGUAAUACGUAGGUGGCAAGCGUUAUCCGGUUUUAUUGGGCGUAAAGGGUACGCAGGCGGUCUUUUAAGUCUGAUGUGAAAGCCGUCGGCUUAACCGGAGUAGUGCAUUGGAAACUGGGAGACUUGAGUGCAGAAGAGGAGAGUGGAACUCCAGGUGUAGCGGUGAAAUGCGUAGAGAUAUGGAAGAACACCAGUGGCGAAAGCGGCUCUCUGGACUGUAACUGACGCUGAGGUUCGAAAGCGUGGGUAGCAAACAGGAUUAGAUACCCGAGUAGUC